rnacentral:rRNA from 1 species
GAUGAACGCUAGCGGCAGGCUUAACACAUGCAAGUCGAGGGGCAGCACAGGUAGCAAUACUGGGUGGCGACCGGCAAACGGGUGCGGAACACGUACGCAACUUACCCUAAACAGAUGAAUAGCCCUCGGAAACGGGGAUUAAUACAUCGUAAACUAUAAGAGUGGCAUCAUUUUUAUAGAAUAGCUGAGGCGGUUUAGGAUGGGCGUGCGUCCCAUUAGCUAGUUGGUAAGGUAACGGCUUACCAAGGCGACGAUGGGUAACUGGUGUGAGAGCACGACCAGUCACACGGGCACUGAGACACGGGCCCGACUCCUACGGGAGGCAGCAGUGAGGAAUAUUGGUCAAUGGACGCAAGUCUGAACCAGCCAUGCCGCGUGAAGGAUGAAGGCGUUCUGCGUUGUAAACUUCUUUUAUCAGGGAAGAAACCUCAGUAUUCUUAUUGAGCCGACGGUACCUGAUGAAUAAGCACCGGCUAACUCCGUGCCAGCCGCCGCAGUAACAC